CUACAGAACUUUAGAUAAGGUCUAAGUCCUGGGAGGGAAGAGGAGCUGGAUCUUUUCUAUUGGUGUGUGAAGAGCAGAUGUCUUCUCAUAAGUUUGGAGGUCUCCAGAUGAAGAGGCGGUACACCCAAGAUGCCACGCUCCAGGAUUCCAUCCAUAUUUGAACAAGAUAUAAAUUGCAAGAUAUGAAAUCUUGAGACUGAUACCAUAUUGGAUCAGACUUUGGAAACAGUCUUGGGGAAAUCAGUGUAUGUUGCUUUGCGAGGAAUAGAAAUAGCUGUGUCCAGAGGGCGGACCAUGGUAGAUUGGAACAAAAUGCCCACAAUAUUUAGCAGUUCCUCCUAUUAAGAGGUGGAAUCUGUUUCUCCACCCUUAAAAGUAGACUUACCUAUGUGAUUUGCUUUGGCCGAUGGGCACUAGAAAACAUGAUACAAGCAGAGACAAAAAAUUCUUGUGCAUUGGGAUUUGCUCUUUCUUGGUCUAGAAAUCUUCCAUGUGAGAAAGCCUGGACGAACUUCCUAUAGGAUAAAAUUUGAGGCGAAGAAAGUCCCCAUCAAGCUCUGAUAACCCAGAGAAUCAUGAGCUAAAUGAAAUGGUUGUUGUCUUAAACGAUUAAGUUUUGAGGUGAUUUGUUGCAACAAAUCUCACUGAUAUGGGUUGGAUUUGCACAGACAGCAGGUAGAAAGAAGGGAGGUCCAUUUUUAUCUUCCAAUAAUAGAGCAUGAAGGGAGUAGCACAUAUUAAGACAAUACAGGAAAUCUAUGCGCUCCAGCAGCUUCUCUCUCCACCUUCUGGAUUUAACUAACACACAUUACAAACAGCCACACAAGUCCAGAAGGUACAGAGGUUUCUAAGAGCAAUAAUCAGGGCUUCCAGUGAGGAUUAUGCUGUGAGACGAUCGUUUAGAAAAAAGCUAAGAUACCAAACCGACUGAUGAUCACCCCCAUGAAAUAGUCAAGAGACAAAGUUAGACAGUGUGCUGAAUGAAGCAAUAAGGAGCAAUUUCAUUCAUUCAUUCAACAUUUACUUAGGUGUUUACUGCAUGCCGUAUCUGGGCAAAGGAAAACACUAUGUGAUUCCCUUAGGGUGUUGUCAUUGCAACUUCAAAGUUUGCUUUCUAAGGCAUUUGCGUACUUGGAAGCUUUAACUAAAAGGCUCAAUAAUUAGGAAAGAAUUCAAUUAAAUUGACUUGUCUUAAUAAAAAUUUCACAUGAAUAAUUUUUUAGGUGACCCUCAAACACUGUGAACUCUUUGGAAGACAGACAUCAGG
rnacentral:lncRNA from 1 species